UAAAUAAAAAUUUAAUUAUUUUUUUUAAAUAGUUUAAUUUAAUAUAGGUUUAUAUAUAAAUAUUUAUUAAUAUUGAUAAAAGUAUUUUUUUUUGUUAGAGUAUUUUAAAAAGAAAUAAUAUAAGGUUUAAUUUUUAUAGUUUAUAGUAAUGAAAAUGAAAAUUGAAAUAAUUAUUGAAAUAGUUUUUUAAAAAAAAGAAUAAUUAAUUUUUAGUUCCUUGUGUAUCAGGAUUAAUUAAAUUUUAAAUUUUAUAUUUAAAUUAUUUAUAAUUCAAAAGAUAUUUAAAAAUUUGUAUGUUUUAUUGUGUUAAAAAUAUUAUUUACAGAUUUUUUAAAAUGAAAGGUUAAAUGUUCUUGAAGUUAUAUAAUUUUUAAAGAAAUAAAUUAAAUUUAAAAAUAAUUUUUUAUUAUUAAUAAGUAAUUUAAAAUAAAUUAAAUUUUUUGUUUAAUUUUAUGUUACAUUAAUAAUUAAGUUAUUUAAAUAUUUUAAGGGUUGAGCUUUAAAAUAAAAGUUUAAAAAUAAAUAAUAAUAAAUAAAAAAAAUAUAAUCUUAAAAAUAGGUAUUUUUAAAUAAAAUGUUUUAAUUAAUUUUUAAAAAGUUAAUAUUUAUUUUAUUAUUUUUUUAAUUUUUUAUUUUAAAUAAUUAAAUUAAUUAUAAAAUUAAUUUAAUAAUAAUUAAAUUAGUAGUUUUAUUUAAUAAUUUAAGUUAUAAAAAUAAUUUUUUAAUUUUAAUUUUAUGAAUUCGACAAUAUUAUUUUUAUAUGUUUAACAAAAACAUUGUUUUUUUUAGAGAUUUUUAAAAAAUAAGGCCUGCACACUGAUAUAUAAUUUAAAGAGCCGCGGUAUAUUGACCGUGCAAAGGUAGCAUAAUCAUUAGUUUUUUAAUUGAAGACUGGAAUGAAAGGUUUGAUAAAAAAUAAGUUUUAUUAUAUUAAAUUUAAAUGAAUUUGUUUUUUUAGUAAAAAAACUAAAAUUUUUUUAAAAGACGAUAAGACCCUAUAAAGCUUUAUAAGUAAGAUUUAUUAAUUAAUUAGUAUAUUUAUAUUUUUAAUUUUUUAUUUAUUUGAUUGGGGUGAUUUAAAGAUUUAGUUAACUCUUUAAUUUAAAAUAAUCAUUUAUAAAUGUUUAGUAAAAUUGUUUGAUCCUGAAUUUUUGGAUUAUUAAAUUAAGUUACUUUAGGGAUAACAGCGUAAUUUUUUUGGAGAGUUCAAAUCGAUAAAAAAGUUUGCGACCUCGAUGUUGGAUUAAGAUUUAAGUUUAGGUGUAGAAGUUUAAACUUUUAGUCUGUUCGACUAUUUAAUUCUUACAUGAUCUGAGUUCAAACCGGUUUAAGCCAGGUUGGUUUCUAUCUUUAUAAUAUAAAUAUAUUUUAGUACGAAAGGACCAAAUAUAUAAAAAAGAUUUUUUUAGAAAUUUGAAAAAAAUUAAAUUUUAUAAAAAUUUUUGGUUUAAAAAAAUAAAUUAAUAUUUUAUUAAUUAUUUACUGU
rnacentral:rRNA from 1 species